rnacentral:rRNA from 1 species
GACGAACGCUGGCGGCGUGCUUAAUACAUGCAAGUAGGACGCAGUUGCGAACGGGUGAGUAACGCGUACGUAACUACCUAUUAGAGGGGGAUAACUAUUGGAAACGAUAGCUAAUACCGCAUACUAGUAGAUGGACCUGCGUUGUAUUAGCUAGUAGGUAGGGUAAUGGCCUACCUAGGCAACGAUACAUAGCCGAUCUGAGAGGGUGAACGGCAACACUGGGACUGAGACACGGCCCAGACUCCUACGGGAGGCAGCAGUAGGGAAUCUUCCGCAAUGGGGGAAAGCCUGACCGAGCAACGCCGCGUGAGUGAGGACGGUUUUCGGAUCGUAAAGCUCUGUUGUUCAGGAAGCGGUACCUAACCAGAAAGGGACGGCUAACUACGUGCCAGCAGCCGCGGUAAUUC